CAUUUUCUGCCACCGAAUACAUUAGCAUGGGAUAAUGGAAUAGGACCCUGUCCUCCUAUUUUCAGUUGGUUUUGGCAGCGCGAGGACUAGGGUAAUGAUUAAUAGGGAUAGUUGGGGGCAUUAAUAUUUAAUUGUCAGAGGUGAAAUUCUUGGAUUUAUGAAAGAUUAACUUCUGCGAAAGCAUCUGCCAAGGAUGUUUUCAUUAAUCAAGAACGAAAGUUAGGGGAUCGAAGACGAUCAGAUACCGUCGUAGUCUUAACCAUAAACGAUGCCGACCAGCGAUUAGGAGACGUUGAAUACAAAACACCACCAUCGGCGCGGUCGUCCUUGGCGUCGGUCCUUCACGGGGCCGGCGCGAGGGCGGCUUAGCCCGGUGGCACCGGUGAAUGACUCCCCU
rnacentral:rRNA from 1 species